GUGCCAUGGGGGGGCUCUUUAAGGUGCCAGGGGGUGUUUUGGGGUGCCAGGGGGAGCUCUGCAGAGGCUCUUUAGGAGUGCCAGGGUCUGUUCAAGGGUGCCAUGCCCUGACCCCGUGCCCCCCAUGCCCUGACCCGGUGCCCCCCGUGCCCUGACCCGGUGUCCCCGUGCCCACAGCGGCAGGACGUGGUGACGGUGGCAUCGCGGUUCAAGCAGCUCUAUGAGUGCCACCUGCCCCCCGCGGCCGUGGCACCGCCCCCGGGACCCCCCCGGGACCCCCGCGGGUACAACGGCUCCGGCGUGGCCGAGCUGCUGCGGCCCAUGGGCACCGCGCCCUGCCUGGUCAAGACCAAGGACUGGUGGACGUACGAGUUCUGCUACGGGCGCCACAUCCAGCAGUACCACCUGGAAGAGUCGGAGAUCAAGGGCGACUUGCUGGUGCUGGGCUAUUACCAGUCUGCCUUCGACUGGGACGACGAGGCUGCCAAGGUGGGUGUGCCCCCCGCCC
rnacentral:lncRNA from 1 species